rnacentral:misc_RNA from 1 species
AGUGCUCAGUACUUUAUUCUGGUGCGUGUCUUUUUGGCAAAUAGUUGUAUGGAGUAUGGAUUAUGAUUUUUGGGCAAUAGUUUUAAGUAGAUAAUGAAUACGCGUAGUUCCAGUAGUGUUCAAGGGGUUUUUAAAGUGAAAUAUAAAACUCCUUUGAAGGUUAAGACUUUGAGAGAAUAUAGAAUCAGUUUGGAAAGAAGAAAGAAAAAUACGGAUAUUAAGCAGGCACCUGAAUUAUACGUAAAACUCAUAUCUCAACACUACGACAAUCUCCAGCAAGCCGAUAACCAAAAACAGCCACUAAAAGACACCACGAACACUCCCGCUAAUAAGGUUAAAAUAGAAGAUAAUAACAAUCAAGAGCCAGAAUCGACACAACAAGACCACAACGAAUCGCCUAACACCAAUAACGCUCAGCAACAAGGAAGCAGAUCCUUGCAGUGUUUGGAAACGCUUGCACAAAAGGCCGGAAUCCACGAUAUCACCCCUGACGAUUGUAAAUUCGAUGUUGCCAAUACCUUGUUGAAUUUGGACAGGGGGCACGAAUUCAUCAAACAGAGCGUAGACGGUCAACUAACGAUCACUAUGAGCGACUUAAACAAACAACAGAUGGAUGCUAAUGCGCAGGCUCAAGCCCAAGCUCAGGCCCAGGCGCAAGCACAAGCACAAGCCCAGGCGCAAGCACAAGCCCAAGCCCAAGCUCAGGCAGUUCAGCAGCAGCAGCUGCAGCAGGUUGCGCUUCAGCAACAACAGGAACAACAACAACAGCAGACUCUAGUGCCUGCGCAGAGCCCGCAUUUGCAACAAGUGACUGUUAAUACGUCGGGUGGACAAUGCGCUGUUACUUCAAUGGGUCCCCCUCAACAUACAGUUUCCAUGCACCAGCAAGUAGCUCAACAAGGCCAGGUGCUACAAACGCAAGGGGCGCAGGUUCUUGCGCAACAAACGGGCAGCACUACUAUUACUACGAUGUCUCCGUUGCAACAGAGCCAAGCUGCGCAUCAGCAACAGCUCAGCGCAGACUGGAGUCACGGCAGAGCAGUACAAGUGAUUCAGCAGCCGAUACAGAACCCGACGUAUCUGCAGCAACUCUACAAUGGACAAGGACAGUUGCUUAUGCCAGGAAAUAUAAGCAAUAUAGCGUUGCAUCCAGGAAUCAAUCCACAAAUUCAGGUUAUAGCGAAGCCAUUCCAAGGAAACCAAUUAGCCCCCCACAUGAUUACAGCUCAAGGAAAGCAAGUGAUUCAAGGUAGCCAAGCCGCAACUUUCCCAGGUUACACAACCUUAGGCCCAACCAUUCCCACGACGCAAAACCAACAAACGCUUGUUUUCAGCCAGUUGGGCGUCAUCAGCUCACAGCCCAAUAUUUUACCUAAUCAUUCCCAAGGCAACGGCCAGGUUGCCCAGCAAAAGCCUCAAGAGAUGCACAAGGUGAUGGGAACACAAAAAGUGCAAAUGCAAAAAGUGGCUAGUAGUACAGGCGCAGUUGCUCAAACACAACAGCAAGGACAGUGUGUACAAGUAUCACAAGCUAUGCUAGGCACUCAGCCGACCGCACAAAUAAUCAGUCCUAUCCAACAGAGUAGUCAGCCUGUUCAGUUUGCCGCCCCGUGGCAGUUCACAGCUGCUGCAAAUGGCUUACAGCAAGUCUGGACGACCAACGGUCUUCAGUCUCAAGCAUUGCAGAUCGGUCCGAAUCCCAUUUUUAUCAGGGGUACCCAAGCUGAUGGUACUCCAGGUCCAGGAAUGUUCAUACAGCAGAAUCCUCAGCCUGCCACCAUUCAGACCCAACAAAACCAAACCAUAGCAACACAAGGAACCGUCCAGCAAAUAGCGAAACCGCGACCUUCCAACGAAAAUAUCCAACCCAAGCAGCAAACAACUAGACCUCUCAACAUACUGCCUUCAAAUGCUGCCAAUAUCAGACCUGCAAGCUCAGUAUCAACGCAAACGAUUGGUGCUCAAACCACUGCUUCCAUAGGUAGCAAACAGGUAGCUAAAAUUCGCACCAAAGCACCACAAAUCCGAACGUCCCCAGCACCAAAAGCAGAUGCAGCUAACCAGACACAAAUUAAACCUUACUCAAACAUCCAACAGCAACAACAACAGCAGCAGCAACAACAACAUCAUAUCAUGGGAAAUAAUGACUUUUCCAGAAUGCUGGUCAUGAACGCCAAUGGUAUGACUACCACCAUGACACCCGGAUCCCCGAUGACCGCCGAAAAAGUUCAACAACUCGCAAACCAAAACAAAACACAGCAGCAACAAGUCAACCCUCAACAACAGCAGACGCAGCAAACCGUGGUGAUGCAGCAAAUGCAACAGCAGCAGCAGCAGCAACAGCAGCAGCAGCAGCAACAGGCUGCCAUGCAACAGUAUCAGCUACAGCAACAGGGACAGGCGAAUCAACAAGGACAGCAGACGCAACAUAUCCAGCCAAAACCGAUGAUGAGUACGUAUUUUCAAACUCUCCCUACCAUCAACUCACAGCAACUCCAGAUGGCCGGUGACAGACCCAUCAUGCCUGUUGUUUCGAUGUCCACGCAGGCCAAUACUCAGCAAGUGCAACAGAUGUCCCAACAAAACCUAGGCACGAUACAACAAGGCCUUCCUCUGCAGUCCAAUCUUGCCGUAACUCAACAACCUAUGCAGAUGAAUAUGCAGCAGUUGCAACAGUUGCAGCAGAUGGCACCGCCAGGAACGAUCAUAGGACAGAUCCAAACAACACCUACCCAACCUACAUCAAUCGCUCAAGUGACUUCAAGCCCCGCGCAAAUCCAACAAAUGCAGACCACUGCUCCACAACAGAUAGCUAUCACUCAGCCUCAGCAAGUACCUUUACCUCCCACGAUAAGCCUACCGAAAGAAGUACCCGCAGAACCCACUACGACCGACAAUACACAAGUGCAGAAUAUUCCUGCCCCUGUGGAAAGUAUCAAAGAACCUAUUGUUGAUGCAACAUCGACGCAACCCGAAAUCAAAGAACCUCCCCCGAUUGCGGAGACCAAGCCCCUCCAGAACGGUGUAGAGCCUACCAUCGUCCAACCGACCCCCAUUCCCGGUACUGUGCCCUCUUCCCAGCCUACCAGCAUCUCGGAGAGUCACCUUCCCGUGGCCGCAACAGCGGAAGAAGUGAAGGAGAGGUGCCCCCCGAAGGCUAUGGUCAAACCGCAAGUUUUGACCCACGUGAUUGAAGAUUUCGUCAUACAGGAAUCGUCCGAGCCAUUCCCAGUUACUAGAAGCAGUUUGUUAGGAGAUGUUAAACCGACCCCGUCUUCCACUGAUAAAGACAGCGAUGAACCUCCAAAAAAGAAAAGAGCGUCGUCUCCCUUCAAUAUCAGUUCGGGAGGGAAGGGAGAUAUGGCGGCUAAAUGUGAAGCUUGCGGAACUGUUGAUCUCAAGGCCAAGUUCAAGAAGAACAAACGGUUUUGUUCUGUCGCCUGCUCUAAAAGUGGAAAAUACAAAGGUGACGACAAAAAGAAAUGGGAUAAGGAUGGAAUGGAAGUUGAUACUGAGUCUGGCGCUUCGGGUGCUGAAAGCAGCCUCUCUCCCAAUGUCGCUGAAGAUGAGACUCCUAAAGUGGAUCCUAUUAAAUGGAGUGUUCAAGAAGUGUUCGACUUUAUCAAGAACCUCCCGGGUUGCUCCGACUACGCGGAGGACUUCCUAAGGGAGGAAAUCGACGGGCAGGCUCUCAUGCUCCUCAAAGAAGACCACCUCAUGACAGCCAUGGCGAUGAAGCUCGGCCCCGCGCUCAAACUGGUCGCUAAAAUAGACGAUAUGAGGAUCGACAAAGAGCCUCCCAAACAGACAUAAGUUUAAUUUUAUUUAGGGGAUGUUGUUAUGCGUUAGACAGGAUUAGAUGGUAUUUCUUAUCUUUCUUAAUUUAUCAAGUAUAAACGUUGAAUACUGUUAUUUGAAGUGUGAAGUUUAAUUUGACUGAUUUUGUCUGUCAAGGUCAACGGAAUCUAUUGUCACUUUUGCUUGAGCGUUUCUCCAUUGCUUUACCGUGAUCAUAUAUGCUUUUCUAUUACUUCCAGAAUGCUAAAAAUGUCGUAUUUAUUAAAUUGAAGAGUGAUGACAGCACGAAUUUCUCGUUCUAGAUAUUUACUAUCUACUUUUAUAUGUUUUGGAUAAGAAAACGGUGUUAAAAAAUAUUUGAACCAUCCUAGAAGAUUUCAGAACUUUGGGAUUGAAAAAGAACAAAGUUUAGCAAACGUAAAGUAUACACACUGUUGUCAGGCGUCAUAAUCUGUCUCUUAAGUCACCUGUCAUUUGAUUGUUGUUACAAUGAAACUGUUCUGUAUCAAUUGCCACCUGUGCAUUAAUCAAUUAAUGACCUAUUUAACUGUUUUAUAUAGUCUCUAUUUGUUUACUAUUAUUUACAUAAGAAGUUAAGUAAAAACUGUGAUUCUGUAUAUAUUUGUGCCUUACUGUAUCCAUUUUUGGACAGAACUCCUCUGUCAAGGAGGUUUGUGAACCAUGAUCUUCCAUGUAUGUUAAACUGUUUGGACAAUUACUGGACAUUGCAGCUCUUCAAUUCUCAUGAAACAGUAAAUAACUGUAAUAGGGUUAUCCUACUAUAUACCCUGUCACCAGAGCCUCGUAUGUUUUCUAGCAGGGUGUACUCGGUUUACUCGUUGUCCCUCUCAUUCAGGUGAUGAUAUUUGGAUCACUUCCUCUUUUAAUUUUAGUAUAGGGCUUUUCAUUCACAGUCACUUGUUUCGAGCUUCUGUUAUAUGUCGUAUAAUCCGUGUAUAUUAAUAUUAUACACAGAUUAUACAAUAUAUGACAAGCUCGAAACAAAUGACAAUCGAUGAAAAGCCCUAUGACCUCUUACAAGAUAUAAUAUAAAAAAUGCAUGCGUGAUCAUUGUGCAGUAAAGACAAUCUUCAAGAAGAAAGAUUUUCUUUAUGCCACAUGAUCAAAAUGGUGCCAAAAGAAACUCGAAUGAAGCAAAUAUAUAUUCAAGAAUGCAAAACUGUGGAACUUUUCUGUAUCUGUAGAGUAGGGAGGGUGAUUCAAGUAUCUCAGCACGUAGGCCACAAUUGAUCCACUGUGCAUCUUCCACGGAGAUGUCGUCCUUAGCUCAUUGUCCAUCCUCGACAAUCAGCUAAGGACGCUUUCUUGCUCGACAGUUUUGUCUUCUCGUUCACACUUCGUGAUAGAUGUGUUCCGUCGAGUUGGUUGAGUUGCGUUUUAAUAACCUUAUUGUCCACGGAAACAAAUAAAUGAAAUUAAAAUAAAUAUAAAAACAACAAACUGUCUGUCAAUAAUAUAUUUAUUUCAAUUGGUAAAAAGAACGUGAAAAUGUCUCGAAAGAGGGUUUAUUAUUUUAGCGAGGGUGUGACCGCACGGAGUGCCCGCUGUGACUUUAUUGAAUUAGACCACAAAAACUAAUCUGUCAUAAUGUGGUUCUACCAUAUGGCCAGACAUGCGAUAAUUUAUUAGAUCUGAAAAGCUGCAAAGGCAUUUUACCUGAAUAGGGAUAUAUUUCGUUUUUUAAAACUUAACAGGCCCUUCUAUGCAUAUGGUUUGUAUAUUAAAUGUGAAUUUUAAAUGGGACGUAUUAUUUCAUUUUGAAAAAGUUAUUAAAAAUUAAAAUUAGCAUUUAAAAAGUAGUAAUUGAAACGUGUCGCCACAGAUGUGUGUUUUUACUAUCCUCAGUGUGUGGAGGUGUUGCUUAGUUGAUAAUGACCAGUUAAAAAACCAACUGCCAAGCGUAGGUUUUUCCUGGUCAUUCCCAAGUAUUUCUUUGAUGCUGACUUUUCAAGGUUCCAUACUGUUACCUUAACAAGUUUGCAUCCUUUGCCUCUUUCCCAUCCUUCCACGGUUUGCGUAUGGAAGUGACAUAAAUUUCCUCGAUUGUUGUGGAGAUAUUUUAUGGUCUUCUAGGUAACUAAUGUCUGAAGUAUUAAUCUUUAUUUUGCUUGUGGUCAAUUCUAUCACAAACUUAAAUCUUUGGCCUAACGUAUCGGAAGUAAGUGACAAUGUUGAAUUUCAAAGUCUUUUUUGUCAAGCAGCUGAAUCUGCUUGACAAAAACGACUAAUAAUUUGAAAAAUUGAAAUUAUUUGAUUUAGUAAGAAAUAUUACUUAUUUAUAAAAUAUAUCUUUAAUUACUCACCUAGUUAUCUAUUAAUAAUUUAAGAAAGUAUGAAAUCUCAUCUAAUCUGUAUAAACACUAGAACGAUUUAAGUUUUUUAUAUAAUAAUUUAAAUAUAUUGUAAAUAGUUUAAUUUAUCGACACUUUUGAGAAGACUGCUGAUGAAAAUCUGUUAAUUAUAUUUGUAUUGUAGACACUUGACGUUCUACGGUCUUCUUUAUUUGAAGUUAUCUUUAGUUUUGAGGUUAUGUUUAAAAGAAACACUAGUAUCUGCUGGUUACGUUAUCAACCAACAUUAUUGGUUAAAAAUUUAACAUUAUGAUUACAAAGUUUUAUUAUUAUGACACCAACAUUGUUUUCAAGUAGUAAAAAGUUAGAAAAAAUAACUUUUCGUUAUCAUUGUUCAAGUAAAAAUAAUGUUUUGCAAAUAAACAAUGCAUAUUGCGCAAAGUUUUAUAUCGGACAAACAGGGAGAAUCUCUUAUAAACGUAUACUUGUUCACGAAAUAUCAUUGACACACCAAAAGCAUAGAGAAAUAAAUAAAUUUUAAAUUUGCAAACAUAAUGGUUACCUAUUUAGACAUCUUUUUCCCCAAAAUUCAUCAAAAUUCGAGUAUAUUAUUUAUAAAAGAUUCUACAAUCAAUAUGCUACAAGUAAACAAUUCUCUAACAAUAUUUUUUCAACUCUGUGAUACGUUGAUAACAUAACCAACAAUUUAAAAUUCUUUUUUUCUUACGAAUAUACGAAAAAAAAAAACGCAAAAUUCGCCUGUAUAUAAUUAGAAAAUGUGUAUUUUAUCUCAUGUUGUGAUAUUUGCUAAUGUUUUUAAAAUAAAUGCUAUUUUGAACGAAAAGGUUAUUUAGAUCUCGAAUUCAAUCGCCCAAAAUGGUUUUAAAUGUUAUACUGCUGUUUCUAUUUAAACCCUUUCAUUUAUACCUUAUUGGUUACUCUCUUUAAGAUAACAAUAUGUUCUAUAUUGAACUCAACACAAAUCUCAACAAAUUUGUGUUUCCCCCAUGUGCUAUUACAAAUAAUUUAUUACAAGUUGCCAACUUUUUGGGAUCCAUUGUAAAAACAUUUAAACGAAAGAAUUAAAACACGUUUUAAUAACGUAGCAAGUAUAAACAAAAAGAGCAAACGUAAGGCUAAACAUAAGAAACCGUUAUUAUUUUCCUAUUAAAUACAUUUUAUGUCAAUCAUUAGCUAUGGAGUGCACAGUGUUGCCAUAUCGUCAAGAUAAUAGGGAAUGGAGGGAAUUAGGAAAUAAUGACAGUAGAUAUCAAUGAGCUGACUGAACCGAUUAUACCUACUACUGUUUCCAGAGUUGAAAUAUGUAUUUUUAUUUAUACACGAAGAUUUGUGUAACAUAAACCAACAUAAAAUAGUAACAGAUAUCUUUACAAUAAAAUAAAAUCCGCAAGGAAAGUAUUUUUCCUGUAAAAUAAGUUAUCAAUUUUUUUUAUUACUGACAGAUCAAAAAUGUUAAAUGGUUCGUUGAAGAAUCAUCUCAAGUCAAAGUUUGGAAUGAUUUAUUUAGCUUCUGUCGUAUCCUUAACUCUUUCAGGGGCGACAGUAUCCGCAAUGUACCAAAAAAAAAUUUACUGAAAUGGACAGUGGUACACAUUUCGUACCGCAUGUACAUUGAUUUUCUCUAAUUCUGCCCAUUUAAGGUAAAAUUUGCUGUAGCAUUUCUUCUCUUGUCUUCCCUUGGUGUCCAUUUCAAUAACCUCUUUGUCCAUCGCCCAUCUGUCAUUCUAGCUAUAGUGCGUCCGCUAUAACUUUUCCCAUGCGGUACGAUUCAUUUUCAUUCAAAUUAAGUCAAAACAUAAAUUGAAACGAACGUCGAUGUGUAUAUACAUUUUGUAUACUGUAUACUAUAUACUACACACAUCGGCGUACGUUUCGCUUUCUGUUUUGACUUAAUUUGAUUGAAAAUGAAUCGUACCGCAUGGGAAAAGUUAUAGCGGACGGACUAUAUGUGUCCUGCCUUCUCCAUUUUAGUCUGGCUAUCCUUUCGAUGACGUCAGUCACUUUGGUUCUUCUCCUGAUCUCGUUCUUUAUUUUGUCUCGCAAAAUAUAGAUCGCUCCAUUUUUCUCUGUUUGUUAGCCGAGGUUUUUGUUAAGGUAAGUGUUUCUUCUCCGUCUGUCAACACUGGGAGGACGCAUUGAUCAAAUAUUCUUCUCUUCAUGCAUUUGGGCAGCUCACUUUUAAAACUUUUUCUCAGCUUUCCUUAUUCUGCCCAAUCAAGACAGAUUCUUCACUUCAGUUCAUGGAUCUGAUUAUCCCCGCCCAUCAUAAUUUCAUAUUCUAGGUAUUUAUAUUAAUCUAUGAGUUCUAUUUCUUGCCCACAAAUACUGAUGUUCUGGUUGGGUACCAAAUUUGUUAUUAUUUUUGCUUUCGAGAUGUUUAUAUUUAAACCUACAUUUUCUGUAGCCUCAACAAGUUUCUGUACCCAUCUCUCUUGCCAUUUCUAGAUCCUCAACUAUUAGGACUAUAUCAACAGCCAAACGUAAGUUUUUUAGAUAUUCUCCAUCUAUUUUUAUUCCUUUUGUCAGCCAAUCCAUAUUUUUAAAACCAUGUUCUGGCAUCGUAUUAAAAAGUUUAGGUGACUUGUGUCUCCUUGUCUAAGCCCCCGCUCUAUAUAAAUAAAAACCUUUUAUUAUUUCUUUAUUCAUCACAUUCUUAACUAUAGCAAAUAUAUGGCAACGCUGUGGGAAAAUGACAACGUCAAAUGAGAUGACGUGGAAUGUAUUUACUAUGAAAAGAUCAAUAUUACAAUACUAAAGCGUACAGUUCCGUCUAAAAAUUAUUCUGUAUUAAAACGAAUCAAUAAAAUUUGAUUUUAGAAAAGUUCUUGUAGUUCCUAAAAGUAAAAUCUAAUUGUUUUACAAUAUUACAAAUAAUAUUUUAUUGACUAUAUUGCAUAUAUUUCUUAAAAAAUAUAAAGAGAGUACCCAAUGAUGAAUACUGUUAAUAAAUUCUUGUAAAUAUUUGUACAUUCGACAUUUUAUAUUAAAAUGGUUAUUUGUAGUUUGUAACUUUGUACAGAGAAAAUAUAUACCUAGGUUUAUAUUAGCAAAUAUCUUUGAUGUGAUCAAAGUAUUCGCAUUUUCAAUAGAAAAUCGCCGGAAAUUGGAUACAUAUUUAUUUACUUCAAUUCGUUGUGCAAUUUUCCAAAUUCUUGUAAGUUUCUAAUGUAGAAUAAUUUGAUAUUUGUUACUAUACUGCCACUAAUGAUAAUAAAUUUGUAAUUUGUA